rnacentral:rRNA from 1 species
AGAGUUUGAUCCUGGCUCAGAUUGAACGCUGGCGGCAGGCCUAACACAUGCAAGUCGAGCGGAUGAGUGGAGCUUGCUCCAUGAUUCAGCGGCGGACGGGUGAGUAAUGCCUAGGAAUCUGCCUGGUAGUGGGGGACAACGUUUCGAAAGGAACGCUAAUACCGCAUACGUCCUACGGGAGAAAGCAGGGGACCUUCGGGCCUUGCGCUAUCAGAUGAGCCUAGGUCGGAUUAGCUAGUUGGUGAGGUAAAGGCUCACCAAGGCGACGAUCCGUAACUGGUCUGAGAGGAUGAUCAGUCACACUGGAACUGAGACACGGUCCAGACUCCUACGGGAGGCAGCAGUGGGGAAUAUUGGACAAUGGGCGAAAGCCUGAUCCAGCCAUGCCGCGUGUGUGAAGAAGGUCUUCGGAUUGUAAAGCACUUUAAGUUGGGAGGAAGGGCAGUAAGUUAAUACCUUGCUGUUUUGACGUUACCGGCAGAAUAAGCACCGGCUAACUUCGUGCCAGCAGCCGCGGUAAUACGAAAGGUGCAAGCGUUAAUCGGAAUUACUGGGCGUAAAGCGCGCGUAGGUGGUUCGUUAAGUUGGAUGUGAAAGCCCCGGGCUC